rnacentral:rRNA from 1 species
CAUGGCCCUUAUGGGUAGGGCUUCACACGUCAUACAAUGGUCGGUACAGAGGGUUGCCAACCCGCGAGGGGGAGCUAAUCCCACAAAGCCGAUCGUAGUCCGGAUCGCAGUCUGCAACUCGACUGCGUGAAGUCGGAAUCGCUAGUAAUCGUGGAUCAGCAUGUCACGGUGAAUACGUUCCCGGGUCUU